AUUAAAAACACUCCCACCUUCAUUUUACACAACAGAAGGGUAUAGAUUUAAUUGCAUUUUUUCUGUUUUGAAUUUGUGUGAAAAAAAAAAAUCAAUCAAUCAAAUUUCAUUUUAUAUUUUAGUUCUGGUACUACAUGUAGAUCACUCGUGUCUGAUAUGUUGAAAAUUAAGCUAGCUAGACUUUGCAUUCUAGUGUAAAUAGAAAAUUUUUCUCUAUAAUUCAUCAUACAAAUUAGAACUAAAAUCAUACUAAUUCUAUUUAAUUUACACUUCUAUUAUCUUUAACAUAUACAGUACAUAGCAAUUUAACUAUAUAAUUAGUAUCUAGUACAUAAUGAUUUAAUUUUUUUGUCAUAUUCUUGAUUGUUUAAAAGAAUUAAUAUUGGUCAAAUUUGUACCACAUUCUUUGCUUAUAUAUAUGCAUAAUAUUGAUGUAUAUACCCGGUAAAUUCUAUUUCCAAAAGAAAUUAAUUGUUUAAAAUCACCAUUAUGUGCCAAAGUUUACAUAAAAUUUUGUUUUUAAUUUAUAUAAUUUUGUAAUUUAUGCAGCAUUGAAUAUAUCAUAGAUGUAUAUUUUUUGAUUAAGUGAUAUUUUAAUUAUAAAAAAGUGAUUGACAGAUUUAUAUACAGAUUAAUGUGCCUUUAUAACUGCUUAACAAAUUUUGAAUUAUGCAUUUCUUAAUUAUAGCCAAGAGUUACCAAAGAGUGACAAACUGCCACCGAUCGGGGCGAAUAACAAAAACUAAAUGAUUUCCCUUGUCCUUCCCGUUUUGAACGGUAUAUUUUUGUAUUUUUUGUUUGUGUGUGCCAUGACAACAUUUUUUACUUUUUUCAUCAAAAAGGAAAACUUGUGAAAAAAUUCCUAUAGGAGUGGGUUUUUCUCAUUAUUUUUUUUUCUGUUAAUUUACUCAGAAACAGAGAGUUUGUUUCAAUAUUGUUAGUUGUUGUUUUUCUUAUUGUCAAAUUGUGUGCAAAUGGCGUAGUGUUUGUUAAUCUUAUAUUAGUCUAAACGUUAGUCUAAUUGUAAUAUUAAUUUAUAGGGUUCAUUUUUUCAGUCGCACUAUAUUUUUUUUAGUGUGUUUGUUAAUGUCAUAUAUUGUUAUUUGUUGUAUUUAUAGUUAAUUUAUACAAAUUUAUUUUGAUAGUCAUACAUUUAGGGAUAUCAAGAUACGACGAAAAAUGGUUUUUAUAAUAACAAUUGUACUUUAUUUCCAGCUAGCAUGUUACUAGUUAUAUAAAGUACCCAUUACAAACAUGUAUGCUCCAUUCUCUGUGAUAUUUUGAUAUUGAACAAUUUAUACAUGUUUUGGUACAUACAUUACAGUACAUAUUUGUAAAAGGGUAUCUGUAAUUUUUUAGUCAACUUUGUUUUGAAAAUCUAUUUCCGUAAAUUUAUGUUGUUGCAGAUUUGAAAAAUUCUACAUAUAUAAUACAUGUAUACAGGACAAGUUGAUUAUACAUUUUUUAAGACAAAAUGGGUGUUAUAGAUUUGAAAAGUCUACUUAAGGAGUUUUACAUGGGUAGCAGAGUAAUAAAUUGAAAUAUUUUGACAAUAAAAUUUAGUGAAAGUUUU
rnacentral:misc_RNA from 1 species